GACGUAGGGCGCGAGCGUUGUCCGGAUUUAUUGGGCGUAAAGAGCUCGUAGGCGGUUUGUUGCGUCGGCUGUGAAAUCCCGAGGCUCAACCUCGGGUCUGCAGUCGAUACGAGCAAACUAGAGUGUUGCAGGGGAGACUGGAAUUCCUGGUGUAGCGGUGAAAUGCGCAGAUAUCAGGAGGAACACCGGUGGCGAAGGCGGGUCUCUGGGCAUUAACUGACGCUGAGGAGCGAAAGCAUGGGGGAGCGAACAGG
rnacentral:rRNA from 1 species